GUAACAGAGGUCCCGAAGCCAGUUGUUUCGGUCGAUUCACUGGGGCGUAAAGGGUGCGUAGGUGGCUUGGUAAGUUUGAUGUGAAAUCUCCGGGCUUAACCCGGAAAUGGCAUUGAUACUAUUGAGCUGGAGGUUUGGAGGGGGGACUGGAAUUCUCGGUGUAGCAGUGAAAUGCGUAGAUAUCGAGAGGAACACCAGUGGCGAAGGCGAGUCCCUGGACAACACCUGACACUGAGGCACGAAAGCUAGGGGGAGCAAACAGG
rnacentral:rRNA from 1 species